UACAGAGGGGGCAAGCGUUGUUCGGAAUUACUGGGCGUAAAGGGCGCGUAGGCGGCCCGCUAAGUCGAACGUGAAAUCCCCGAGCUCAACUCGGGAACUGCGUCCGAUACUGGUGGGCUUGAAUCCGGGAGAGGGAUGCGGAAUUCCAGGUGUAGCGGUGAAAUGCGUAGAUAUCUGGAGGAACACCGGUGGCGAAGGCGGCAUCCUGGACCGGCAUUGACGCUGAGGCGCGAAAGCGUGGGGAGCAAACAGG
rnacentral:rRNA from 1 species